rnacentral:lncRNA from 1 species
AAACCUGUUUCUAAGCUAGAACUAACCUAUAAGGCGAUCCACAAAAGGAGCCAUUGAUCCGUCGAAGACUGGUGAGUCAAGGAAUAAGUUGAUAUACUUCAAGAGGAUCUUUAGGAAUGGAUUUUAUUGGAGGUGAUCCAAUUCAACCUAGUACCCUCGGUGGCUCUACCCUUGUCUUGCAGCAUUAAGGCUUGGGAGGUGGUCACAUGAAGCUUU